CCCUUAGAUGUCCUGGGCGGCCCGCGCGCUACAAUGUCAGCUACUGAAGGUUAAUGCUUUGAAAGAGAGCGCGCUCUCCUUUUAAUUGCUCGCAUGCUGGGAUAAAUGAAUGCAAUUUUGUUUUGAACGAGGAAUUCCUAGUAGCCAUGUUUCACUAGAAGAUGGCGAAUGCGUCCCUGCCCUUUGUACACACCGCCCGUCGCUCCUACCGAUGAGCGUUUUGGCGAAGACGGUUUGAGUAGCUGCGUAAUUUCGUGUUGUUGACUCCGGCAGUUUGAGCCUUCACGUUUAGAGGAAGGAGAAGUCGCAACA
rnacentral:rRNA from 1 species